UACGUAGGGUGCAAGCGUUGUCCGGAAUUAUUGGGCGUAAAGAGCUCGUAGGCGGUUUGUCGCGUCGGCUGUGAAAACCUGGGGCUCAACCCCGGGCCUGCAGCCGAUACGGGCAAACUAGAAUUCGGUAGGGGAGACUGGAAUUCCUGGUGUAGCGGUGAAAUGCGCAGAUAUCAGGAGGAACACCGGUGGCGAAGGCGGGUCUCUGGGACGGUACUGACGCUGAGACGCGAAAGCGUGGGGAGCGAACAGG
rnacentral:rRNA from 1 species